ensembl:lncRNA
GCUACCGUAUAAUCGGAUGAGUGUCUACGAAAAUAAUCUUUACAUUUACAGAACAUUUGUUUUUAAAAAUUUAGAUUAUUUCUUAUCAAAUGAGAAAAAUAAUUAUAACUUUUGUUAUUUUUUUGUUUUUCAAAUAUUCUUAUCAAUUAUUCAAUUACAUUCUUUAGGUGUAUAUCAUGGUCAUAUUAAGAGUGAAAAUGUUUUGAUACAGAAUAAUAUGCACGUCCUUAUUACUGACAUUAACAUUUUAAAUAACUACCUUUAUUUUAUUCCUAAGUUAAAGCACGAAAAUGAGGGAAAAGAAAAAUUGAUAAGACAACAGGAAGACAUUUUUAACUGGGGUAUACUAAUAUUAGAAAUUUUGUUAAAAAGUAAAAAUGUUUUAUAUUUAUUUUUAAAUGAAAGCUAUAAAUAUAAUAGUGAUAACAAUUUUUAUUCUGAUAAAACAAAACAAAUAAAGUUAUUUUUUUAUGAAAAUGAGACAAAAAGAUAUACCACAACGUCAAAUGCUGAUAAUGACAACAACAAAGUUGUUAAUAACUGUAACAACAAUUACAACAUUUGUAAAAAUUUUAAUAGUUAUAAUUAUAUUAUGAACAUAUCAGAAAAAAAGUACAGUGAGACUUUUGUUCAAGCUUUAUCUUUGCCACUCAUAAAUAAAAAAAUAAAAAAUGAAGAAGAAGAUUAUUUUCAAAAACACCAAAAUAUUAAAAUGAGUAUAGAUAAGUAUAAAUAUUAUAAUAAUCAUUAUAUUAAUAAUUUUAAUUAUAUUAAUAUUUAUAAUAUGUAUAAUAAUGGGAUUUCAAACAAUCUAAACAAAAAUGUACAUCUUUUUGAUAGUGACACUUCCAUAAAUGGAAGUAAUAUUGGUCAGACGAACAAAGAAAACAACCAAGACGAACAAAACAUGCAGGCCAAAGAAGUUAAAGAAGACUCAAAACUAGUCCAUACCGAUUCUGAAAUAUUAAAUGAUAAAAAUAAAAAAUAUGAUAUAUUAAAAAAUAAUUCAUACUCAACAUCUGAAAAUUUAAAAAAUUUACAUAAACAAUCAGAUUUAUUUUCGAAUGGAUAUUAUUCAAAUAUAAAUAAAAAUUAUAUACAGCAGGUUAUUUUAGAGAAAAAUCAAGGGAAAGAAAAAGAAGACACAAAUGUUAACAAUAAGAAAAAUUAUUUAAGUUUGAAUGGCAACACUGUUUAUAAUAGUAAUGAUAAUGUUAGUGGCGAUUACAACCACAACCACAACCACAGCCACUGCCACUGCCACUGCCGUAUUUGCAACUACAACCAAAACAAUAACUAUAACGAAAAAAGCGUACCUUAUAAGAUUUGGAAAGUUGUCCAUGAAAUUAAGAAUCCAUUUAUUACAUAUUCACUUAUUAAUCAUUUUUUUUUACAAAAUAAUUAUAACAUAUUUAAAAUAUUUAAUUAUUGGUCUUAUCAUAUAUUCCCUAGUACAUAUAAAUAUCUUUUUUUCCCUCUUACAAUAUUACAAUUACAUCCUUUAUUUAAAAAUUCUGAUUUCUUUAUUAUGUUAAUACAUUUUAAUCUGCCUUUUUUUUUAUUCUAUUUAGACAUUUUUGGAAAAAAAGAAAAGGAUAAGUAUUUUUUAUUAAACAGUUUUUCAAAACAAGAUAAACCGACACAGCAAAUAGGAAAUUAUAAAAAUAGAAAUGUCAUAAACAGGAAUAAUGAUAAUGUGACUAUUAAUAGUCAUCACUAUUCUGAUAAUUGCUUAUAUGGAAAACCUAAACAAAAGGUUUUCCAUUUUUCAAAAUUAAAUUAUUACAUUAAUGUUGUUAAUAGUUUUACUACAAGUAUUAACGAAAAACAAAUGAAAACUUAUAUAAAUAGCACAAAUUUGAAUAAAAAAAUAAAAAAACAAAUAGUUACGCAAUGGAUGGAAUAUAAGACAAAAAAACGGGUGGAAAAACGAGUGGAAAAACGAGUGGAAAAACGGGUGGAAAAACAAGUGGAAAAACGAGUGGAAAAACGGGUGGAAAAACGAGUGGAAAAACAAGUGGAAAAACAAGUGGAAAAACAAGUGGAAAAACAAGUGGAAAAACAAGUGGAAAAACAAGUGGAAAAACAAGUGGAAAAACAAAAAAGGGCAACAAGCGAACGUAACAACGAAAAAACUAAAAAGAAAAAACUUUAUCACUACAAAUGCUAUUUUCCUUUUCCCACCUUAUCAUAUAAAAAUGCACAUAAUUUUUAUAAAAAUUUUUUAUUAUUUUAUAAAACCUUAUAUUGUUCUAUUUUUUAUGAAGGUAAAAGUUAUAUGCAAUUAUUUAGCUGUUUAGAAAUAUACAAAAAAGCUAUUUACAUGUGCUUAUUUGAAGAUUUUUAUUAUAACUCUAAUAAUACGAAGACAGUUACAUAUAAUAAAAAGUAUAAGAACUGUUACAAAUCUAAUAACACGGAAUGUUUUGGAAAUUAUAGCAACAAGCGUGAUGCCACAAAUAUCAUUAAAGGCAACUUCGAACAUAAAAAUAAGAAAGUGCAUAAAAAGAAGGUAUACAAAAAGAAGAGGCAGAAAAAACAAAUAAAUUAUACAUGGGAAUAUAAUGACGAUAUAUGUCUUUUAAUAAACAUGAUUAUAUGUUCAUAUAAUUCUGUUUUAUAUGAAUCUGUUAAGGUUUUGUCAUUAGAAAUGUUAUAUUGUAUAAUAUAUCAUUUAAAUAAUCCAAAUUUAAAAAAAGAAAUUAUACCUUUUUUAUUAUAUUGUCUAAAAGAUCAAAAUGAACAAAUUAGAACUAUAACACUUAAAUGUAUAUAUCGAAUUACACUAAACGAACAGACAUAUGAAUAUUGGUUUCUUUAUAUAUAUAAAUUUCUUCCAAAAUUCUUUAAUUUAAUAAAUAGUAAAAAAAUAUAUGAACACUAUUUGUACGCUAAGUAUAUACCAUUAUUUUCGAAUUUAACUAUUCGUUAUAUAUAUAAUCUUAGUUUACUAAAACAAAAACAAAAAAAAAGUUUAAAAAAUAUAAAAAGUUUUAAUACAACUAUGGAUAGUGAUGAAGCAACUAAUCAUAGCCAUAUAUGCAGUGACGAAGAUAUUGAAAUAAAUUACGACAAAAAUUACUACAGUACUGGCGAAUAUAUUAGCGAAUAUAUUAGUGAAUAUAUUAGCGAAUAUACUACCGAAUGUACAAACGAAUGUACAAACGAGUGUACAAACGAAUGUACAGACGAGUGUAAAAACGAAUGUACAGACGAGUGUAAAAACGAAUGUACAAACCAGUGUACAAACGAAUGUACAAACGACGUUGAAAAAAAAACUGAUAACAAAUCAAAACGGAAGCAACGCAAAUGAUAAAAAUUCAUUAACAGUAUUUGCGACGUGAAAAAUAAAAAAAAAAAAAUGUUCA